rnacentral:lncRNA from 1 species
GCCCCGUUGCCGUCAGCCCCAGCUAGAGGUGACCAUAUAGAAACGAAGGGGUGAACUUGGAGUAGGUAGAAAGAAGGCUGCAUCCUGGUAUUCAGUGUCUACUCGUGCUCGAAUGCUCCGGGAAGACGGAGAGGAUACAAUGGGGAUGGACCCAGCGGCUCCAUGAGAGCCUCCUCCGGGAACUGUGGUUAACGCCCCCCGCAGUGUACGUGAACCCUCAGUAUUGGAACACGAUGGAUUAUUCCAGAACGACCGCCUCCUACCCUCUAAUGGUACCUUCCGAGUGAAUGGUCUUACCUCCGGCCCUGUCAGUGGGAAUGUGAGAGUUCCAUUCCAUACAUCAGGAGUCAAGCAGGGUGUUUGAUCCAGAGACACAGAAACAUAUCCUGACGCUCUGCCUGUUGGAUCCUAUGUAUUUAUCUCAUAGACAAGUGCCUUUUUGGAGACUCUUUUUUCCCCCUGCAAAGGGGGGAGAGGAGGGAAGGGAGCUUGGGUCCAGCUGUCCUCUCUUACCUUCUUUUGCAAGCCCUUCUUUCCUCAUCGCUGUUCCUCUGCCAUCUCCAGCGACCUCACCAGAACAAUCCUUUCUCCAGAGGGCCUUAAAAGGACAUUGGUUGGAGGCUAAGGGCAAAUCAAGAACAGCAGGAGCCUAGGUCAACAUCUCUGUGUUCAAGAGAAAGUCGGAGAUCCUUAGCCUGGCAUUCAGUGUGUAGCUCAUGCUGGAAGAGCAUCCCUCAUCCAGGCCACAAUAAAUUGCUUCUACCAUGCUCCGAUUUCACCUUGCCUUCUGGGACCCUCAACCCUUUGUACAAGCUGUUUUACUUGCCUAGGCGCUAUUUUUUAUUUCAUCAAAAUGUGCAUGGCUGUAAUUUUAUGUCUUGGCUUUAUUAUGAACACUUUACAAAUAUUACCUCAUUUAUCUUCCCAGCUCUAUGUUGUAAGCACUAUUAUUACCUCAUUUAAUAGCUAAGGACCUUAAGGAGUUCCCUGGUGACCUAGUGGUUAAGGAUUCGAUGUUGUCACUCUGUGGCUCGGGUUUGAUCCCUGAUGUGGGAACUUCCUCAUGCCAUAGGCAUAAGA